UAUAGCAAGCUUCGAUCGAUAUCGAGUUCGGCUGACAAUCGAUAACAUGCGAUUUGAUCUAUCGCGCUCAACAGUAGUUGUAAACUCUGACCGACAAUAAGAAAAAAUUUACAAAUUGUAAAUUACAUGAUACAUUGUUGUUGUAUUUUUGUGCGUUAGCUUUAUGAGUGCGCGCGCGUCUUUUGUUUUCAACGCAACGAAAUUAGCUUAGCAGCUACCCAGCUAAAAAUCAUGUCGAAACCGCUGCCAACCGCUUUUAGGCAGCUCAUCAGUGCCACUGCCACCCUCCCCGCAGACGUAGUCGUCCCCUCUUUGUCCAUUUCUGCGAUUCGUGAACGUUUUACGUUGUCGCCGACUUGUAUGUUUGUAUUAAAAUACUGCAAUGAGCUCUUUAUCUUAAUUAUAUAUGUAUAUGUGUAUAGAUAUGUAUGUAUAAGUAUGUGUGGAAUAUGCGUAUAAAUUCUGACGGAAACAUACUGCGAAUGUCGCCGCAUGCACGUCGCUGCGGGGUAAACAAACUGCCGUUGCUCUGCAGCAGCUUCCGCCGCUGUAGUCGCCUACGCUGCCUCUACUGCUGAUAACACUGCUGACAAACGAAUUUCAAUCUCAAAGCAACAGCAAAAACAAUGAGCUAAUAACAAAUCCGUACGACUUUUAUCAGUCAGCCAUGACGACGUCGCCGUCGCUAUCGUCGUCGCCGCCGCCGCCGUUGGCCGAGCAAGCGUCAGCCUGUUAUUUUUUGCUCUGCUCGCUUUUGCCUACUCGCUCGCUUAGUGCACAGCGGCUAGUUCAGUCUGCUCGCUGAUUUCGUUGCGUUACGUUUACGCUUACGUUGCUGCUGUGUUCCGUUCUGUUGUGUUCCGUGUCCGUUUUUUCGCCAUUUCUUUUGCGACAAGAAAUAAGAACAAAAGCUGGAGCUGGUUAAAUAAA